rnacentral:rRNA from 1 species
GAUGAACGCUGGCGGCGUGCCUAAUACAUGCAAGUCGAGCGAACAGACGAGGAGCUUGCCCCUCUGACGUUAGCGGCGGACGGGUGAGUAACACGUGGAUAACCUACCUAUAAGACUGGGAUAACUUCGGGAAACCGGAGCUAAUACCGGAUAAUAUAUUGAACCGCAUGGUUCAAUAGUGAAAGACGGUUUUGCUUUCACUUAUCGAUGGAUCCGCGCCGCAUUAGCUAGUUGGUAAGGUAACGGCUUACCUAGGCGACGAUGCGUAGCCGACCUGAGAGGGUGAUCGGCCACACUGGAACUGAGACACGGUCCAGACUCCUACGGGAGGCAGCAGUAGGGAAUCUUCCGCAAUGGGCGAAAGCCUGACGGAGCAACGCCGCGUGAGUGAUGAAGGUCUUCGGAUCGUAAAACUCUGUUAGUAGGGAAGAACAAAUGUGUAAGUAACUAUGCACGUCUUGACGGUACCUGAUCAGAAAGCCACGGCUAACUACGUG